rnacentral:rRNA from 2 species
CCUGGCGGCUUUAGCGCGGUGGUCCCACCUGACCCCAUGCCGAACUCAGAAGUGAAACGCCGUAGCGCCGAUGGUAGUGUGGGGUCUCCCCAUGUGAGAGUAGG